rnacentral:rRNA from 1 species
CAGCAGCCGCGGGAAAACGUAGGGUGCGAGCGUUAAUCGGAAUUACUGGGCGUAAAGCGUGCGCAGGCGGUUCGUUAAGACAGAUGUGAAAUCCCCGGGCUUAACCUGGGAACUGCAUUUGUGACUGACGGGCUAGAGUAUGGCAGAGGGGGGUAGAAUUCCACGUGUAGCAGUGAAAUGCGUAGAGAUGUGGAGGAAUACCGAUGGCGAAGGCAGCCCCCUGGGCCAAUACUGACGCUCAUGCACGAAAGCGUGGGGAGCAAACAGGAUUAGAUACCCCCGUAGUCCCUGUCUCUUAUAC